GAUGAACGCUGGCGGCGUGCCUAAUACAUGCAAGUCGAGCGAACAGACGAGGAGCUUGCUCCUCUGACGUUAGCGGCGGACGGGUGAGUAACACGUGGAUAACCUACCUAUAAGACUGGGAUAACUUCGGGAAACCGGAUCUAAUACCGGAUAAUAUAUUGAACCGCAUGGUUCAAUAGUGAAAGACGGUUUUGCUGUCACUUAUAGAUGGAUCCGCCCCGCAUUAGCUAGUUGGUAAGGUAACGGCUUACCAACGCAACGAUGCGUAGGCGACCUAAGGGGGGGAUCGCCAACCAGGGAGAGGGGACGAGCACCAAACCCCGACGGGAGGCACGGGGAGGAAUCCUUCGGGAGGGGGCGAAAGCGAAAAGGGGAAAAGGGGCGGAAGUAUGAAAGGGCUAGGGCUCGUAAAACCUGAUUAUUAGGGAAGAAAAAAGGUGUAAUACACUUUGCCAUAAUGAACGGACCCAAAGAAUAAACCCCGGCUAACUCCGUG
rnacentral:rRNA from 1 species